rnacentral:rRNA from 1 species
UACGAAGGGGGGCUAGCGUUGUUCGGAUUUACUGGGCGUAAAGCGCACGUAGGCGGAUCUUUAAGUCAGAGGUGAAAUCCCAAGGCUCAACCUUGGAACUGCCUUUUGAUACUGGGGAUCUCGAGUCCGGGAGAGGUGAGUGGAACUGCGAGUGUAGAGGUGAAAUUCGUAGAUAUUCGCAAGAACACCAGUGGCGAAGGCGGCUCACUGGCCCGGUACUGACGCUGAGGUGCGAAAGCGUGGGGAGCAAACAGG